rnacentral:rRNA from 1 species
GAUGAACGCUGGCGGCGUGCCUAAUACAUGCAAGUCGAGCGAACGGACGAGAAGCUUGCUUCUCUGAUGUUAGCGGCGGACGGGUGAGUAACACGUGGUUAACCUACCUAUAAGACUGGGAUAACUUCGGGAAACCGGAGCUAAUACCGGAUAAUAUUUUGAACCGCAUGGUUCAAAAGUGAAAGACGGUCUUGCUGUCACUUAUAGAUGGAUCCGCGCUGCAUUAGCUAGUUGGUAAGGUAACGGCUUACCAAGGCAACGAUGCAUAGCCGACCUGAGAGGGUGAUCGGCCACACUGGAACUGAGACACGGUCCAGACUCCUACGGGAGGCAGCAGUAGGGAAUCUUCCGCAAUGGGCGAAAUCCUGACGGAGCAACGCCGCGUGAGUGAUGAAGGUCUUCGGAUCGUAAAACUCUGUUAUUAGGGAAGAACAUAUGUGUAAGUAACUGUGCACAUCUUGACGGUACCUAAUCAGAAAGCCACGGCUAACUACGUG